AUACGUAGGGGGCGAGCGUUGUCCGGAAUGAUUGGGCGUAAAGGGCGCGUAGGCGGCCUGUUAAGUCUGGAGUGAAAGUCCUGUUUUCAAGAUGGGAAUUGCUUUGGAUACUGAUGGGCUUGAGUGCAGGAGAGGUUAUCGGAAUUCCCGGUGUAGCGGUGAAAUGCGUAGAGAUCGGGAGGAACACCAGUGGCGAAGGCGGGUAACUGGACUGCAACUGACGCUGAGGCGCGAAAGUGUGGGGAGCAAACAGGAUUAGAUACCCUGGUAGUCCACACUGUAAACGAUGAAUGCUAGGUGUAAGAGGUAGCGACCCCUUUUGUGCCGGAGUUAACACAAUAAGCAUUCCGCCUGGGGAGUACGGCCGCAAGGUUGAAACUCAAAGGAAUUGACGGGG
rnacentral:rRNA from 1 species